rnacentral:rRNA from 1 species
GGAUGAACGCUAGCUACAGGCUUAACACAUGCAAGUCGAGGGGCAGCAUGGUCUUAGCUUGCUAAGGCCGAUGGCGACCGGCGCACGGGUGAGUAACACGUAUCCAACCUGCCGUCUACUCUUGGACAGCCUUCUGAAAGGAAGAUUAAUACAAGAUGGCAUCAUGAGUCCGCAUGUUCACAUGAUUAAAGGUAUUCCGGUAGACGAUGGGGAUGCGUUCCAUUAGAUAGUAGGCGGGGUAACGGCCCACCUAGUCUUCGAUGGAUAGGGGUUCUGAGAGGAAGGUCCCCCACAUUGGAACUGAGACACGGUCCAAACUCCUACGGGAGGCAGCAGUGAGGAAUAUUGGUCAAUGAGCGCAGGCCUGAACCAGCCAAGUAGCGUGAAGGAUGACUGCCCUAUGGGUUGUAAACUUCUUUUAUAAAGGAAUAAAGUCGGGUAUGGAUACCCGUUUGCAUGUACUUUAUGAAUAAGGAUCGGCUAACUCCGUG